rnacentral:rRNA from 1 species
GAGUUUGAUCAUGGCUCAGGACGAACGCUGGCGGCGUGCUUAACACAUGCAAGUCGAACGAAAUUAAAAAAUUAUCAUUGAGCUCUCCGAUGAGAUGGGAGCCAAGCGUCGUGACCGCGCAGCGGGCACCACGCGUUCAACAAGUGCAACACCAAGUCGAAGGGUUGAAUGGUAAUUUUUUAAUUUAGUGGCAAACGGGUGAGUAACACGUAGACAACCUGCCGACAGGAUGGGGACAACAUUCCGAAAGGAAUGCUAAUACCGAAUGAAGCGGAGGAGAGGCAUCUCUCUUCCGUGAAAGAUGGCCUCUAUUUAUAAGCUAUCACCUGUCGAUGGGUCUGCGUCUGAUUAGCUGGUUGGUGAGGUAACGGCUCACCAAGGCGACGAUCAGUAGCCGGUCUGAGAGGAUGAACGGCCACAUUGGGACUGAGACACGGCCCAGACUCCUACGGGAGGCAGCAGUGGGGAAUCUUCCGCAAUGGGCGCAAGCCUGACGGAGCAACGCCGCGUGAGUGAAGAAGGUCUUCGGAUCGUAAAGCUCUGUUGAUGGGGACGAACGUACGGAGUGCGAAUAGUGCUCUGUAAUGACGGUACCAUCGAG